ACACAUGGCUUCUUUAUAUCUUUUUUAACAAAGGCUGUUUGGAUAGUGUUUCAUUUUCCCCCUUUCUAUUAGUGUUCAAUUUUCAUGGUAUUGCCACAAUUCCAAAGGUAUUUCUAGUUCCCCUUGCUGUUCUUUUCUCUUCAUCUUCCACUUUUCCUACAAAUGUUGUUUUCCAGCAAAGGGGAAAACUAAAAUGUGAUUUAUAAUCUUCAGUUUUCCCUUUUCUUCUUUAGAUCUUGGACAUGCAAUACAUAGAACCCUUGAUUUUUCUUAAAAACCCAUUUCCUUUCUUUUUCUCCAUUUUGGAAUAAGCAACAAACAUGGCUUCUUCUUCAAAUUUUUCUCGAUGGUUCUGAUUUUCUUCUUUUACAACUUUUGAUACAAAAAAAAUCCCCAAUUAACUUUUUCUCGAUUUUGCUGAAUUCAGGAGGCGGAUCGGUAUCAAGUAUUCUGUUAAUGAUUCCAGAGCUUCUUAUGAACUUCGACAUUUAGGUCGUUUGAUUUGUAGUUUACCGAGGUCUACAACCAUGGUGUAUGUGUUGUCUCCUUGAUUUUGCUAAUUUGAGUCAAGGAUGUAGGGUUUAAGCGUCAACAUCUCCUUCACUCUAUUUUUUGUUGUCGGCGCUGAAUCUCGAAAUGGAGGUUUUUGUGGUGGCUGAAAUUGUUGUGAAAUGACAGAAUUGCCAUUUAGAAUGAGAAUUUUGUGGAUGGCCAAAAUGUGUGAAAUGACAGAAUUGCCUUCCGGCCAAGCUGGCAGGACAACCGUCUCCUGCCUGCGUUGAGCCGCUUGGACAGCAACCUUUAAUUUAUGUAACAUAAAUAUUGUAGAUAAUUAAUUAUUAAAAUAAUUUAAAUUUUUAAUUAUUGUAAUUUAUAAUAUUUUUUUUAUUAUAAUUUAAGUGACACUGAUAUAAGUUCGAGCGUCAAUCGAAUAUUUUUUAUAUUUUAUAUUUUUAAGUUGUUAAAUAUGUGAUUUAUAAUACUUUUAACAUAAUUUUUCAAUAAGUUAUGCCCUCCUCUGUUACAUAGUAAUUUAU
rnacentral:lncRNA from 1 species